CAGCAGUAGCCGCGGGAACACGGAGGGUGCAAGCGUUAUCCGGAUUUAUUGGGUUUAAAUGGUCCGUAGGCGGACUUAUAAGUCAGUGGUGAAAGCCUGUCGCUUAACGAUAGAACUGCCAUUGAUACUGUAAGUCUUGAGUAUAUUUGAGGUAGCUGGAAUAAGUAGUGUAGCGGUGAAAUGCAUAGAUAUUACUUAGAACACCAAUUGCGAAGGCAGGUUACCAAGAUAUAACUGACGCUGAGGGACGAAAGCGUGGGUAGCGAACAGGAUUAGAUACCCGUGUAGUCCCUGUCUCUUAUAU
rnacentral:rRNA from 1 species